GACGAACGCUGGCGGCGUGCUUAACACAUGCAAGUCGAACGGUAAGGCCCUUCGGGGUACACGAGUGGCGAACGGGUGAGUAACACGUGGGUGAUCUGCCCUGCACUUCGGGAUAAGCCUGGGAAACUGGGUCUAAUACCGGAUAGGACCACUGCCUGCAUGGGUGGGGGUGGAAAGCUUUUGGGGUGUGGAAUGGGCCCGCGGCCUAUCAGUUUGUUGGUGGGGUGAUGGCCUACCAAGGCGACGACGGGUAGCCGGCCUGAGAGGGUGACCGGCCACACUGGGACUGAGAUACGGCCCAGACUCCUACGGGAGGCAGCAGUGGGGAAUAUUGCACAAUGGGCGCAAGCCUGAUGCAGCGACGCCGCGUGAGGGAUGACGGCCUUCGGGUUGUAAACCUCUUUCAGCACCGACGAAGCGCAAGUGACGGUAGGUGCAGAAGAAGGACCGGCCAACUACGUGCCAGCAGCCGCCGCAG
rnacentral:rRNA from 1 species